UACGAAGGGGGCUAGCGUUGCUCGGAAUCACUGGGCGUAAAGGGUGCGUAGGCGGCGCCGUAAGUCGGAUGUGAAAUCUCGGGGCUCAACCCUGAAACUGCAUUCGAUACUGCGGUGCUAGAGGACUGGAGAGGAAACUGGAAUUCACGGUGUAGCAGUGAAAUGCGUAGAUAUCGUGAGGAAGACCUGUGGCGAAGGCGGGUUUCUGGACAGUUCCUGACGCUGAGGCGCGAAAGCCAGGGGAGCGAACGGG
rnacentral:rRNA from 1 species